AUGGUUGAGUUAAAGACAGCUCAUUCUUCCUACUCUCAUUCCUCUGGCACUUGGUGGCAAGAUUCCAGCACAGCAGGUGUAAUCAAUAGACUAUAAGUCUUUCUUGCUGCUAGUGGUUGGGGUCAGCCGUUGGUGAGCCUAAAGGAAUAAUAAGGGCCUCCCCUCUUCUGGUUAGAUCCUACUAUAGACUAGCAUAGUGUUUUCCUUUUUUCUCUUGUUUGGUCAAAUAGGUGAAAGCAUUUAGAUUUCCUGAAAUUAUUUUCUGUUUAGGGAUUAUCUUUAAGAUACUGAAUCGGAUACUUCAUGGAGACUCUUCACCUUGUUGUGUGUUGGUCCCUACCCUUAGCUCUGGGAAAAAAUUUGCCCUAGUGGUAGAAACGUUAGACUUCUGGAUCCAGAGCUCAUGGGUUUUGCCUUCAGUCAGUUCUGCUUUUGGAUUUGGUCCUGGAUGCCCUAGCUGGGCUUUGCUGCUGAUCUUUGGUUGCUGUGGUUAGGUUUCCACCAUGAGUGGCUAGAUCCCCAGAUGCUGUCUGUCUGAUUGAUUGAAGCUCUGCUUAUUGCCUGCCAUCAGAGUCACCUGAUGAUAAACUCUGUUCACCUGCAGGGCUAUCCACCUGUUGUCUACUUCUAGACCUAUCUAACGCUUAACAUCUGUCUGACUGAACUUCCUUCCUUAUCCAGCCAGUCUUCCUUUAGUUUGCUGUGAGGAUUUUCCUAACAGCCUCUCCAUCUGUCUGAUCUGGCUCCAGUGGGACAGUCUAACAUCUGUAUCUGGUCUCCUCCAGAUUGGCCAUUUGUGUUACUGACAAAAUCCCUGGUCCCAAAGCAAAAGAGAAUGGCGUACAGUGGAAAUAUGUGAGAAGCAGAAGGCGAAGAGUAUGUAAAGUGUCCAGAACUCUUCAGUCAUUAGACUGUGUUCCUGGCAACUAUUGUGUUGGUGAUUUGACAGAUUGGAAAAGUAAUUACCUCUUAUGGAAAAGUCAUCUAUUUCCUCUAUGGAAGAUGAUUAAUAUGUUUACCUUUUGUGCAUCCUUUUAAAUCCUUUGGCCAUACUUUCCAUUCCAACCACUGCUGCAGCAAUCAGUUCUUUGCAGGCUUCCAGCAUCUUCAUGCAGGUGAACGGAACAGCACCUCGCCACUGCAUCUCAGUGCCUCAGACCUAAACUGAGGAAAUGGAUCAAGAGAUUUCAGAUGAUUAUUCAGUUCAAGGCACAGAAUCAUAAUUGGUCUAGCUGUUCACAUGUACCUACAUGUCAAGUCUUCUGGAUGAUGUUGACAGCUAAGAUGUACGCUUGGAGGGAAUUCCUUGAUAAUACCUUCAGGACCAAAUGCUACUGAAAAGAAAAGAAUAUUUUAGAAAAAAGAUGCUCUAGCAAUAGCAGGAAAGAAAAAUAAAGCAAAAAUAUUGAGUGUGUCUG
rnacentral:lncRNA from 1 species